AAGGAUCAUUACCGAGUGCGGGCCCUCUGGGUCCAACCUCCCAUCCGUGUCUAUCUGUACCCUGUUGCUUCGGCGUGGCCACGGCCCGCCGGAGAACUAACAUUUGAACGCUGUCUGAAGUUUGCAGUCUGAGUUUUUAGUUAAACAAUCGUUAAAACUUUCAACAACGGAUCUCUUGGUUCCGGCAUCGAUGAAGAACGCAGCGAAAUGCGAUAAUUAAUGUGAAUUGCAGAAUUCAGUGAAUCAUCGAGUCUUUGAACGCACAUUGCGCCCCCUGGUAUUCCGGGGGGCAUGCCUGUCCGAGCGUCAUUGCUGCCCUCAAGCACGGCUUGUGUGUUGGGCUUCCGUCCCUGGCAACGGGGACGGGCCCAAAAGGCAGUGGCGGCACCAUGUCUGGUCCUCGAGCGUAUGGGGCUUUGUCACCCGCUCCCGUAGGUCCAGCUGGCAGCUAGCCUCGCAACCAAUCUUUUUAACCAGGUUGACCUCGGAUCAGGUAGGGAUACCCGCUGAACUUAAGCAUAUCAAUAAGCGGAGGAA
rnacentral:misc_RNA from 1 species